rnacentral:tRNA from 1 species
GCCCCCGUAGCUCAGUGGACAGAGCGUCCGGCUACGAACCGGGAAGUCGCGCGUUCGACUCGCGCCGGGGGCA